UCUUUUUUAAAAACAACUUUAUUGAGGUAUAAUUUAUGUACAUAAUGGCUUUCAUUUAAAGUGUUUUGAAAUAUGCAUAGAUCUAUGAAAUUAACAGGACAAUCAAGAUGCAUAAUGUUUUCACCAAUUCCAAAAGUUGUCGUGACCCCCUUGCAGUCCAUCCCCGCUCCAUUCUUUAACCCCCAGGGAACCACUGACUUGUUGCUGUCAUUGUGGAUAAGUUGGCAUUUUCUAAAACAUCAGAUAGAAAUAAGUGGUACGUACUCUUUUGUUUCUGUCUUCUUUCACCCAGAAUAAUUAUUCUGAGAUUCAUCCAUGUCACUUAAGUAUUGUUUGUUCUUUUUUAUGGUUGAAUAGUAUUCUUUUGUAUUGGUGAUGAUCAUGGGAGUGUUUCCAUUCUUGACUAUCAUGGAUAAAACUGUUUGUGUAAAUAUGCCAGGCAUAGUGGUGCACACCUAUAACCCCAGCACUCAGAUCACUGUGAGUUCCAGGCCAGCCUGGGCUGCAUAGCGAGUUAAGGUCAGCCUGAACUGCCCAGUACGACCCUGUCUCAGAAAACAAAACAAAACAAAUUUGGGUAAUUGUUUUUGUGUGGACUCAUUUUCAUUUCUCUAAGGUAAGAACCUUGGUGUGGAACUGUUGAGUCAGGUGUUGGUAUAUUCAUCUUCACAAGAAACUGCCUAAAGGUUGUACCAUUUCAUAUUCUUACACUAGCUGUGGAUGAGAAUUUGAUUUUUCCACAUCCUCUUUAACACGUGGUGUUGUGUUAAAAUACAUAUAAUAAAAAGAAACUUUUUUUAUAGUAUUGGGGACUGAACCAAGGGCACCCUACUAUUGUGCUAUAUACCCAGCCCCUUUUGUAUUUUCUUUUGAGAUAAUAUCUCACUAAAUUUCCCAGGCAGGACUUGAACUUGCUAUCCUCCUGCCUCAGCCUCUCAAAGUGGUGGGAUUAGAGGUGUAUGCCACCACACUCAGCUUAACCAUCUUUAAGUGGCUUUAAGCUUAUUCAAUGUUGUGCAACCAUCACCAAUAUACACUUCUAAACUUUUCACCACUCCAAACAAAAAUAUUGUAACCAUUAAGCAAUAACUUCUCACUUUACCCAUACCCCAUAACCUCAUUUACUUUUUAUCUCUGAAUUUUCCUUAGAUAGUUCAUAUAAAUGGAACCAUAUAUUUGUUCUUUUGUGUCUGAUUUGUGACAUUUAGCAUGUUUUCAAGAUUUAUCCAAUUCAUUAAUCUCAAUGUGGUUUUGACUUAUUUCCAUAUUGACCAAUGUAUGAACUUUUUAUUGUCCAUUUGUAUAUCUUUUUGGAGAAAUGUAUAUAUCAGUGUUUUGUCUAUUUUUAAAUUGGGUUUUUUAAAAUUGAGUUUUAGAAGUACUUUAUGUAUUCUAAAUAUUAAACCCUUAGCAGAUAUAUGAUGUGCACUUUCCCUAUUCUUUAGAUUCUUUUCUUCAUAAUGUUUUUUGAUGUACAAUUUUUAAAAAUUUUCUGAUCAUCAAUUUCUUUCAUUGUUUGUCUUUUUAGUGCCAUAUGUUAAGAAUCCACUGGCAAAUUAAGUUAUGGAGAUUUAGCCCUAUUUUUUUCUUUAGAGAGUUUUAUGGAUUUAACUCAUCUAAGUUGUUGAUUCAUUUUGAAUUUUUUGUGUGUGGUGUGAAGCAGGGGUCCAACUUCAUAUGCGUGUGAAAAUUCUGUUGACUCAGCACCACCUGUUGAGGACAGUAUUCUUUCCCCCAUUGGACGGACUUGGCACCCUUGUCAAAAAUACCCUGGGUAGGGCCGUGGAUUUAGCUCAGUGGUUCCACCGCCUGCCUCAAAAGCGCAAGGUCCUGAGUUUGAUCCCCAGUACCAAAAACAAAACAAAACAAAAAUACCCUGGGCAGAUUUUUUCUGCACUCUGAAUUCUCUUGUCUGUCUGUCCUUAUGGCAGUAUCACACUGAUGUGAUUAUUGUACUAUGGUAAUAAGGUUUAAAAUUGGGAAGCAUGGGCCUUCCAGCUUUGCUUUUCUUUUUCCAGGCUGUUUUGGCUACUUGGGUCCCCCUGAAAUGCCAUAUAAACUAGAUGACUCCUCAAAAAAACAAACAAAAACAAAAAUGGUUGCAACUUUGGUGGAAACUGUGAAGAUUAUUUUGGAUAGUUCUGACAUCUUUCCCCAGCCUUAAAAAAUUUUGAGAAUUAAUUUUCUAGAGGAAAGCAUACACACACACUCAAAUAAUUUGAGACAAGAUCUUGUUAAGUUGCUCAGGCUGGCUUUAAACUUGCAAUCCUCCUGCAUCAGCCUCCUGAAUAGCUGGAAUUACAGGCAUAUGCCACUCACUACAUUCAGUCUUUCACCAUUAUUAUAUUAGUUGUGUGUUUUUCCUAAGUGCCCUUUGUCAUGCUGAAGAAAUACCCUUCUAUUCCUAGUUUGUUUUUAGGUAAGUUUGAGUUUUUGUCAUGUUAACGGUCUUUUCCACAUCCAUUAAGAUAAUCAUGUGGGGUUUUUCCCCUUGUGCUACCAAUGUUACACUGAUUUUCUUAUGCUGAACUACCUAUGCAUUACUGGGGAGUAGGGUCAAUCUUUUUAGUCAUUCUCGUGGGUGCACAGCAGUGGCUCAUUAAUUUCCAUUUUCUUGGUGACUAUUAAUACUCAGCAUCUUUUCAUGUGCUCACUGGCCAUUGACAUAUUCUAUUUUAUACGGAGUCUUCAGCACUUUAAAAUUAUUUGUCAAAAUAUUGAAUUGCAUGAGAUCUCUACCUAUUCUGGCUAUAGGUCUUAUCCAUUUAAAUGUGUUGUAAAUAUUUUCUCCCAAUUAUUAGUUUGUUUUUUCAUUUUCCUAGCCAUGUCCUUUGGAAAGCAUGUUUUAAAAGUCUAGUUUAUUGAUCUUUUUCCUUUUAUGUGCUAAGAAAUAUUUGUUGAUUUAAAGGUUACAAGAUUUUCUCCUACAUUUUCUAGCUGUUUUUGUUUUAUACUUUAUGUUUCAAAUUUUUGUUUGUCAUGUGUGAGGUAGAAGUCUAUCUUCAUGUUUCUCAAUUGGAUAUGCAGUUUUUUCCAGCAUUAUUAUUAUUAUUUGUUUUGGUAUGGGGAUUGAACUCGGGUCCUUGUGCUUUCGAGGCAGGUGGUGGAACCACUGAGCUAAACCUCCAGCCCCUUCCCAGCAUUAUUUGCUGAAAGACUUCUCUUUCCCCCAUUGAAUUGCCUUGGCUCUUUUGUAGAUCAUUUGAAUGUAUACACGUAGUUUUAUUUCUGAACUAUCUUUUCACUAUAUUAGUUUGAUUACUGUAGCAUUAUGUCUUCAAAACAGGAAAUAGAAGUCUUCCAAUUUUGUUUUUACAAUUUCAUUGGCUAUCUUCUAGGUCACCUGCAUCUCCCCAUUUUAAAAUUAAACAAUAUCUAAAAAUUGCUGGGAUUUUGGUUGGAAUUGUGUCCAGACUGAUUUGGAGAAAACUUGAUAUCUUAACAAUACUGAAUCUUCCACUUCAUGAACAGAAUAUAUUUUUUUCUUCAUUGAGGUUAUCUUUUCUCUCAGCAAUGUCUUUAUCAACUUCAAUGUACAGGUUUUGCCAUUUUGUUAAACUUGUUCAUAAGUAUUUCAUAUUUUUGUUCCUAAAACUGCUGCUUUAAAUGAAAAUUUUUCUUGUAAAUUUUUUAUUUUCCACUGGUUCAUCAACAGUUUGUAGAACUGAAUUUUUUUUUUUUUUGGUACCAGGGAUCAAAUGUGGUACCUUGCACUUGCAAGGUAGGUGGUGGAACCAAGAUAAAUCCCUGGUUGAAAUUUUGUAUAUUGAUCUUACAUCCUGUAACCUUGGUAAACUCACUUAUUCUAGUUGCAUUUUGUAAAUGUUUUGGGAUUCUCUUCAUGAACAAUUUUGUCACGGGAAGUUUUCUAAUUGGGAUCUCUUUCUUUUUCUGCUACAAUACCUCCACUAUAAUACUGAAUAGAAACGGUCUUGCCAGGGCUGAGGAUUUAGCUCAGUGGCACCGUGCCUGCCUUGCAAGUCCAAGGUCCUGAGUUCAAUCCCUGGUAAGGGGGGGAUGGUCCUUGCCAUUUUCCUGAUUUUAGGAAGAAAAUCUCUUGGUCUUUCUCCACUAAAUAUUUACUAUUAGCUCUAAGUGUCUCAUUAAUGCCUUUAUCAAGUUGAGAAA
ensembl:lncRNA